UUAGUACAUUGUACGAAUUAUUGCGUACAUAUAACUAAUAACAUUCGUAAAUUCUUCGUACGAAUGCAUUCGUAAUUUCUUGCAUUGUAUUCGUAGUAUUUACUAAUAAAUUCGUACUAUUUACUAAGUAAAUACUAAUAUUCGUAGAGAAAUUUAUUCGUAGGGUGCCUGUACGCAUUAUUCGUAGAAUAUACGAAUAAUUCGUUGAUUUUUAAACCGAAAUAUCCGUUAUUUCCGUUAUUUGUUAAACGUUUUCCAUUCCUAAAUACCAUAAAAAAUGUUAGUUGGAAUACGCGCGUCGUCGAUGGCAGAACAUUUAUACAUAUUAAAUGGAAAAUAUAAUUUCAUAAAAUAAAUAUAUUUAAGAAAUACAGAGUUUGUAAAAAUAGUUUACUUUCGUUCAGUGCGGAAAAAAAAGUGCUUGUAGUUAAGCAGUGGUGUAAAUCAUUGUUUAACGUAAAUUUUACUAUCUAUACAUGAAGUAUUUACAAAACCGAGGAACGACUGAACAACUACAAUUACAACAAAAACCAGAAUAUUCUUUCAAGAUUGGCAUAGGGAAUUUAUCAACAAUCAGCUUUACCAAUGGCAAAUGGCGGCCCAUAUCACUUCAAAGUUACUGGUGCUUUUCUAAAAAUAUUUAUUUGGCCUUCCAUAACACAGAAUAUGAACACCGUGGAAUAUAUGUGGUAUAAUAUUCAAGAUCAAAAAAACCUUCAUUAUAUUUUUAUAAAUGUGAAAAAUUAAUGCAAUAUAUUUUUAUAGUUUGAAGUACAGUUUUGCUUGGGUAAUUAUUUCAACAAUUCAUAUUUCAGGAAAUUUCAAGAACAAAAUUCAAUGGCUGAAAGUUCUACAAUGAAUAACAUUCGUACAAUAUACGAAUAGCACUGUAUAAUGUACGAAUUAUUAGUAAAGCCAUUCGUAAAUAUUACAAUGCUAUUCGUACAAUAUACGAAUACUACUGUAAAAUGUACGAAUGAAUCAGAAAAGCAUUAGUAAAUACUACAAAUUAUUCGUACAAUCUA